rnacentral:lncRNA from 1 species
AAGGAAGGCACAACAUUCUUCGUGGCUCAAGGGCAGAGGGAUGAGGAAGCCAAGGGGCAGAUGGGGGCAGAGCUGGCAGGGUGGGCAGGGUCUGAGACGGGAAUAAACAGCUGGUGCCUGACCAAGACCACCACGACCACCAAGACCACCAAGGCGAGGGGCAUCCUCAGGAAGAAUUGGAGGUCUUGGGAAGUCUUGCUCCGUUAUCCAGGCUGGAGGGCAGUGGUGCGAUCUUGACUCACUGCAACCUCCAUCUCUCAGGUUCAAGCGAUACUCAUGCCUCAGCUUUCCAGGUAGCUGGGAUUACAGGCACCCGCCAACACCCCUGGCUAAUUUUUGUAUUUUUAGUAGAGACGGGGUUUCGCCAUGUUGGCCAGGCUGGUCUUGAACUCCUGACAUCAAGUAAUCCACCCACCUCAGCCUCCAAGAUGCUGGAAUUACAGAUGUGAGCCACUGCGCCUGGCCAAUCUCUCCUAUUUAAUACUUAACAAUGCACCGGACUCAGCCUUCACACUUUGCAAGCGUUAUCUUGUUUAUCCACACAAUAACUCCCAUUUUACAGUGAGCAAACUGAGGCCAAGGGACACACAAAAAAGUUGCUCCAAAUCCACAUCUACUAAGUGGCAGAGCUGGGGUUCAAGCCCUUAGAUUUGGCAUCUGUAGUUGCUGCUGCUGAGUUCCCUCUGGAGAAUGGCUUUAGCAUUUCCAAGAAUAGACAAUAUCUAGGAAGGGCAUGUGUUUUUAACUCCCUCCCCACCGUGCGCACAAGCACAUAUUUUAAAAACCAAAUUCCAGCAACUACACGUUCAAAUUCAGAGGGCAGAUUUGCCAAAGUGGUGGCAUUGGCUGUUAUUGGCAGAAACCUCCCACUCACAGACGUGGAUCGUGAGUUUGCUGGUAAAUCUGUUGAGUGGAACUCCUGAGAUGGGGAUGCACCUUCCCACGGCCUGUGUGGGGUGGCUCCCAGGCUAGCCCAGGAAGCCUGUUAACUCCCGCAUCCUUCCUGAAUUCGGACUGAGUCUCAACGCCAAGAAUCCAGGAGAGCCAGAUGGGAGGCUGCUGGUGGGGGAACUGACAGAGAAAGCGUGCUUCCUCCCUAGGAGCCCACUCUCACAGCCAUGGCGUGUCCAAGUUUCUUAUUUGUUCUACGAAUAAACUACAUAGACAGAUAGAGGCACACUGACUAGGACGCUGCAUCCUCCCACCUUGCAGCUGCCCUGGAGGGUGCAGGAGUGUCCUCUCAUCUCACGAACGGGUCCUGAGGCUGAGAGAGGUCAGGGACUUGCUCUGAAUCCUACAGCCUGAGAUGGAAUCCUACGUUCUCAUAGUCUCACGGUCUCAGGGCUCGGGGAAGGGGUGGGGGGAGGGGAGCGGGCGGAGCUCCAGUCUGGGACUCCAGCCCCCAAAGCCUUGUUCUGUCCA